rnacentral:rRNA from 1 species
AUGUUGCUCUCCGCCUCGGUGAACUCCAUCUCGUCCAUGCCUUCACCAGUGUACCAAUGCAAGAAAGCCUUCCUCCUGAACAUGGCAGUGAACUGCUCGCUCACCCUCCGGAACAUCUCCUGGAUGGAGGUCGAGUUGCCAACGAAGGUGGACGCCAUGGAGAGCCCCGUCGGCGGGAUGUCACAGACGCUGGACUUGACAUUGUUGGGGAUCCACUCCACAAAGUAG